rnacentral:rRNA from 1 species
CUGAAUUAUUUAAAGAGCCGCGGUAAUUUGACCGUGCAAAGGUAGCAUAAUCUUAGUUUUUUAAUUGAAGACUGGAAUGAAAGGUUAAUAAAAAAUAAGCUUUAUUAUUUUAAUAAUAAAUGAAUUUGUUUUUUAGUAAAAAAACUAAAAUAUUGAUAAAAGACGAUAAGACCCUAUAAAGCUUUAUAAUAAUUUUUAUAUAAUUUUUUUAGAAUAUUAAAAAUUUUAUAUCUUUAUUAUUUAAUUGGGGUGAUUUAAAGAUUUAAUUAACUCUUUAUUAUAAAAAUUUAAUAUAGUUAAAUUAAAGAUCCUGAUAUUUGGAUUUAAAAAUUAAGUUCUUUAGGGAUAACAGCUAAUUUUUU